rnacentral:lncRNA from 1 species
CUUCGCUGCUCCCUAGCUGGUAGGCAGAGAGAAAAGGGCCCAGAGAAGCCCAGGACUUCCUGGUCACAGUCACCCACCCAAGAGAGGCCUAGAGCUCCUCCAGGGCAUGUCUGUGAGCUAAGGUCACCCAAGGGAAACCUGGGAAUAUCGGUGAAGACACUGAGUGGUGCUGAGGACUCUCUGAGCCACAGGAUUCCUGCCCCUCAAGCACCAGCAGUAUCAGCUACCCUCAGCCCUCCUGCGCAAUCCUUGCUGUCAGACACAUCAUCAGCCCCACCUUCUGCUCCACUGGGACUCCUCCAGGUGGAUGUGACAGCCACAUCCUGAAUUCCAAGACCUUCUUCUCCUGUGGCCCAGACAGCAC